UACGUAGGGGGCAAGCGUUGUCCGGAUUUAUUGGGCGUAAAGAGCGUGUAGGCGGCCAGGUAGGUCUGCUGUGAAAACUCGAGGCUUAACCUCGAGCUGUCGGCGGAAACCAUCUGGCUAGAGUCCGGAAGAGGAGAAUGGAAUUCCCGGUGUAGCGGUGAAAUGCGUAGAGAUCAGGAAGAACACCGGUGGCGAAAGCGCUCUGCUGGACCUUAACUGACACUGAGGGACGAAAGCUAGGGGAGCGAAUGGG
rnacentral:rRNA from 1 species